AUCCUAAAAUGAAUGUGUGCACUGAG
rnacentral:piRNA from 1 species